AUUGAACGCUGGCGGCAUGCUUUACACAUGCAAGUCGAACGGCAGCGCGGGGGCAACCCUGGCGGCGAGUGGCGAACGGGUGAGUAAUGCAUCGGAACGUAUCCUGUAAUGGGGGAUAACGUAGCGAAAGUUACGCUAAUACCGCAUACGCUCGAGAGAGGAAAGUGGGGAUCGCAAAGACCUCACGUUAUAGGAGCGGCCGAUGUCCGAUUAGCUAGUUGGUGGGGUAAAGGCCUACCAAGGCGACGACCGGUAGCUAGUCUGAGAGGAUGAUCAGCCACACUGGGACUGAGACACGGCCCAGACUCCUACGGGAGGCAGCAGUGGGAAUUUUGGACAAUGGGCGAAAGCCUGAUCCAGCCAUGCCGCGUGCGGGAAGAAGGCCUUC
rnacentral:rRNA from 1 species